ensembl:lncRNA
AUUCAUGUUCAGCUACUAGUUGGCAUCGUAGUGGGCCCCUCCCUCAAGUGACCAACUGUCAAUGAGUGACCGUUAGUGGUCCUGCUCAGCCAUUGGUCAGCAUUGCAGUGGGCUCCUGCCCUAAGUGACCGACUGUCAAUGAGCGACCGUUAGUGGUCCAUUCAGCAAACAGUUGGCAGAGUGGUGGUUGUCAGACUGAGAAUGAGCUAAGAGUCCCUGCCUCUGUGACCUAAUGGUGGUGGCCGUCUUCCUGAGACACAGUCUGAAGGACCUGCCCCCGCUGUAUGGGUGGCCUGAGGGCCAGCUGGAUCCUGGGCGCCUGGCUCCUCCAGGGAUGACAGCUGGGCAGGGUAUGGGGACCUAGUGCUGAGGGCGCUGCCAACUGACCUCUGCCUCCUCUCAGCCAGGACUGGGACCUCAGAGAGUGAAAGUUGUGCCCUGUGACGUUGCCCUUCCUAGUAACAGUGAAGAGCUCUUGUUUGAUGGAGAUUUAUAGGAGCAUUGUUGCCUGACCAUGACUGACAUUGAGAACAAAGGAUCUGACACCCAGAAGUUUGCAACAAGUAACCAUGCCUCUCCCUCACCUCUCCUAGACAGGGGCUUUGCUGGAAGCCUUUGUGGAGUUUGGGAUUUCUAAGGCAUGGGUCUCUCCGAUCUCCUUGGAUGGCCCUCAGUAAACCUUUGUCUGUUCCAAACUCUGGUGUUUUGGUAUUUUUGGCUUCCCGGGCACUGGUCACACAAACUUGUGUUGCAGUUAGUAAGCUCUUUUUAUCUCCAUCUUAAGUCUGCCAUUGCAGGAGAUGUGGGUUCCAUCCCUGGGUUGGGAAAAUCCCUUGGAGAAGGAAAUGGCAACCCACUCCAGUAUUCUUGCCUGGGAAAUCCCAUGGACAGAGAAACCUGGCUGGCUACAGUCCGUGGGGUCACAAAGAGUCGGACACGAUUGAGCACACACUCACAUGUGGAUGAGGACGGUGAGAUUCAGAGAGGAUGAUUUUCCAAGGUAGGCCAUUAGAAAAGGGGCAGGGCUGGAACUUGAAACCCUGGCAAUGAGAUUCUAUGACCAGAAUUAUUUUUAUUAUGC